rnacentral:rRNA from 1 species
AUGGCCUCCCCCUCCCGCCCGGCGCUCCCUCCCCACCUCCGCCUCCUCUCGCCGCGCCAGCUCCCGCCUCUCCGCCCGCCUCGACGUCGCGGCGCGCGCAGCCGCGUCCUCUCCGCGCUCCCCUCCCCGUCCCCGUCCCCGCCCUCGCAGCAGCGCGUCUCCACCGCCUCGCUCGAGCACGGUCCCGGGCCCGGCCCCUCCGCUGCCGAGCAGCAGCCGCGGCCACACGACCAGGCGCUCGCCGCGGAGGUCGCGCGGCUCUCCGCGGCCCGCGCGCGCCUCCGCGCGGCGCGCACCCUCGGCGACAAGCUCCGCGCGCUCGACGCCGAGCCCCGCGUCGCGGCCUUCUUCGGCGACGCGUCCAGCCGCGGGGUCCUGGGCGGCCUCCGGCCCCGGGAGGCGUACCUGCUCAAAUGCCUCGUCGCGGCCGGCCAGGACCACGUGCUCGGCGCGGAGCUCGGCUGGGCCGGCGCCGGCGGCCACGAGCGCCACCGCAAUGGGGGCGGUGGCGGGAGCGCGCUGAGGGAGGCGCUGUACAGCCUGGCCGAUCUGGUCGGGAGGUGGAGCGAGGAGGGAGCGGCGGACGACGAGGCUGGGAGCGGGGAGACGGAGCUGCUGCUCGGACGGCUGCUCAAGUUUCUCGGAGACAUCGAGGAGUUCUACGACUGCGUUGGAGGCAUCAUCGGCUACCAAAUUAUGGCGUUGGAGCUGCUCUCGGUCUCCAAGUCCAAGGACAGCAAGCACCGGCAUAGCAAAGACAAGUUUGUCGACUUCCAUGUUCCCACCGGACUUAAUCUAUUGGAGGAUACAGAAUAUGCAUCUCAAGCUGCCCUGUGGGGAAUCGAGGGUUUGCCAGAACUUGGUGAAAUUUAUCCAAUUGGUGGUGCCGGUGACCGUCUUGGUUUAAUGGACUCAGAUACCGGUGAAUCCCUUCCUGCCGCAUUGCUUCCUUACUGUGGAAGAUCUCUAUUGGAAGGACUGAUGCGUGAUCUGCAGGCUAGAGAGUUUCUCCAUUUUAAGAUCUUUGGGAAACAAUGUAUAACCCCUGUGGCGGUCAUGACAAGCUCUGUGAAGAAUAACCAUGAACAUAUAGUUGCCAUCUGUGAAAGACUUGAAUGGUUUGGUAGAGGCCGUGAGAACUUCCGCUUGUUUGAACAGCCUUUGGUGCCUGUAGUAAAUGCUGAAGAUGGCAAAUGGUUAAUCAGCGAGUCACUUCUCCCUGUGGGUAAACCCGGUGGUCAUGGCGCUAUUUGGAAGCUUGCUUGCGAUCGAGGUGUAUUUGAAUGGCUUUAUCGUCAUGGCAGAAAAGGUGCAACUGUUCGUCAAGUCAGCAAUGUUGUUGCUGCAACUGAUUUGACGCUGAUGGCAUUGGCUGGAAUAGGCCUGCGUCACAAUAAGAAAUUAGGUUUUGCAUCUUGUGAGCGAAGACCAGGUGCUACGGAAGGGGUGAAUGUUCUUAUUGAAAAACAAAACCUUGAUGGGCUCUGGGAAUAUGGUAUCACUUGCAUUGAGUACACUGAAUUUGAAAAAUACGGCAUAUCAGAACCUACAGCAACGAAUGGCAGUUUGCAGGCUAGCUAUCCAGCAAAUACAAACAUUCUAUAUGUUGACCUGCAAGCAGCGCAGGAAGUUGGAUCACGCAAAAAUGCUAGCUGCCUACCAGGAAUCGUGCUAAAUUUGAAGAAGGCAGUAUCAUAUGUGGAUCAUCUGGGCUUUGAGUGUAGCGCUGCGGGUGGCAGGCUAGAAUGCACAAUGCAAAACAUAGCAGAUAAUUUUAUGAACACAUAUAGCUACAGGUGCAGCAAAGGAAUAGAAAGUGAGCUCGACACGUUCAUUGUGUACAAUGAAAGGAAAAAGGUUACUUCAUCAGCUAAAAGGAAGCUGAAAUCAGAAGACAGAUCAUUGCACCAGACUCCAGAGGGUUCACUCCUCGACAUUAUGCGCAAUGCUCAUGAUCUCCUUUCUAGCUGCAGCAUAGAGGUUCCAGAGGUGAAAGACAAUAAUGAGUACUUGCAUUCCGGACUACCAUUCAUCAUAUUUCUUCAUCCUGCUUUAGGACCAUUUUGGGAUAUCGUAAAGCAAAAGUUCAUAGGUGGCUCCAUCUCUAAAGGUUCAGAAUUGCAAAUAGAGGUGGCAGAAUUUCUAUGGCAAGAUGUUGAGCUGGAUGGGAGCCUUAUUAUUCUAGCUGAUAACAUUAUGGGUUCAACAAAGAGGAACACUGAUGGUGAACAAGUACUACACUACGGAGCCAGGUAUGGGAGAUGCAAGCUGCAAAAUGUUAAAAUUGUGAACGAAGGGAUCAGCUGGGAUUCUCCCAGUAAUGUCUAUUGGCAGCACCAUGUUGAAAGAUCAGAAUCUCUAAAGAUUAUUCUUCAUGGAAAUGCAGAAUUUGAGGCGAAAGAUGUCGUCUUGAAGGGUAACCAUAUGUUUGAAGUACCCGAUGGUCAUAGAAUGUGCAUCAUUCAGGACGAAGCAGGUUUUACUGUUAAGUUAGAUCCUAUAAGCAAGGAAAUGAUGGACAGCGGAACGUGGUACUGGGAGUAUACGCUAGAUGGUGCGCAUGUGAAGUUGAAUAUGGUGGACCUAUGUGGAGAUGGUACCAACUGUAGAUUCUUGAUUCAUUGA